UACGUAGGGUGCGAGCGUUAAUCGGAAUUACUGGGCGUAAAGUGUGCGCAGGCGGUCGCGCAAGUCGAGUGUGAAAGCCCCGAGCUUAACUUGGGAAUUGCGCUCGAAACUACGUGACUGGAGUGUGGCAGAGGAAGGUGGAAUUCCACGUGUAGCGGUGAAAUGCGUAGAGAUGUGGAGGAACACCGAUGGCGAAGGCAGCCUUCUGGGCCAACACUGACGCUCAUGCACGAAAGCGUGGGGAGCAAACAGG
rnacentral:rRNA from 1 species